AUUGAACGCUGGCGGCAGGCCUAACACAUGCAAGUCGAGCGAGCGGCGGACGGGUGAGUAAUGUAUGGGGACUGCCCGAUAGAGGGGGAUAACUACUGGAACCGGUAGCUACUACCGCAUACUAUCGGAUAACCCAUAGGGGAUUAGCUAGUAGGUGAGGUAAUGGCUCACCUAGGCGACGAUCCCUAGCUGGUCUGAGAGGCUGAUCAGCUAUACUGGGACUGAUACGCGGCCCAGACUCCUACGGAGGCAGCAGUGGGGAAUAUUGCACAAUGGGCGCAAGCCUGAUGCAGCCACGCCGCGUGUAUGAAGAAGUCCCUAGGGUUGUAAAGUACUGUCAGUCGGGAGGCGUUCCCGACAGAAGAAGCACCGGCUAACUCCGGGCCAGCAGCCGCGGUAAUAC
rnacentral:rRNA from 1 species